AUUGAACGCUGGCGGCAUGCCUUACACAUGCAAGUCGAACGGCAGCACGGACUUCGGUCUGGUGGCGAGUGGCGAACGGGUGAGUAAUGUAUCGGAACGUACCUUUCAGUGGGGGAUAACGUAGCGAAAGUUACGCUAAUACCGCAUAUUCUGUGAGCAGGAAAGCAGGGGAUCGCAAGACCUUGCGCUGAUUGAGCGGCCGAUAUCAGAUUAGCUAGUUGGUGGGGUAAAGGCCUACCAAGGCUACGAUCUGAAGCGGGUCUGAGAGGAUGAUCCGCCACACUGGAACUGAGACACGGUCCAGACUCCUACGGGAGGCAGCAGUGGGGAAUUUUGGACAAUGGGGGCAACCCCGAUCCAGCCAUGCCGCGUGAGUGAAGAAGGCCUUCGGGUUGUAAAGCUCUUUCGGCCGGGAAGAAAUCGCAUCAGCUAAUACCUGGUGUGGAUGACGGUACCGGAAUAAGAAGCACCGGCUAACUACGUGCCAGCAGCCGCGGUAAUACGUAGGGUGCGAGCGUUAAUCGGAAUUACUGGGCGUAAAGCGUGCGCAGGCGGUUGUGUAAGACAGGCGUGAAAUCCCCGGGCUCAACCUGGGAACUGCGCUUGUGACUGCACAGCUAGAGUACGGCAGAGGGGGGUGGAAUUCCACGUGUAGCAGUGAAAUGCGUAGAGAUGUGGAGGAACACCGAUGGCGAAGGCAGCCCCCUGGGCCGAUACUGACGCUCAUGCACGAAAGCGUGGGUAGCAAACAGGAUUAGAUACCCUGGUAGUCCACGCCCUAAACGAUGUCAACUAGGUGUUGGAUGGGUAAAACCAUUUAGUACCGUAGCUAACGCGUGAAGUUGACCGCCUGGGGAGUACGGCCGCAAGGUUAAAACUCAAAGGAAUUGACGGGGACCCGCACAAGCGGUGGAUGAUGUGGAUUAAUUCGAUGCAACGCGAAAAACCUUACCUACCCUUGACAUGUCCAGAAGCCCGGAGAGAUUUGGGUGUGCCCGAAAGGGAACUGGAACACAGGUGCUGCAUGGCUGUCGUCAGCUCGUGUCGUGAGAUGUUGGGUUAAGUCCCGCAACGAGCGCAACCCUUGUCGUUAAUUGCCAUCAUUUAGUUGGGCACUUUAACGAGACUGCCGGUGACAAACCGGAGGAAGGUGGGGAUGACGUCAAGUCCUCAUGGCCCUUAUGGGUAGGGCUUCACACGUCAUACAAUGGUCGGUACAGAGGGUUGCCAAGCCGCGAGGUGGAGCCAAUCCCAGAAAGCCGAUCGUAGUCCGGAUUGCAGGCUGCAACUCGCCUGCAUGAAGUCGGAAUCGCUAGUAAUCGCGGAUCAGCAUGUCGCGGUGAAUACGUUCCCGGGUCU
rnacentral:rRNA from 1 species